rnacentral:rRNA from 1 species
GGAAUCACUGGGCGUAAAGGGCGCGUAGGCGGCCUUGCAAGUCUGAUGUGAAAUCCCACGGCUCAACCGUGGACGUGCAUCCGAAACUGCUCGGCUCGAGUAUGGAAGAGGGUCGCGGAAUUCCCGGUGUAGAGGUGAAAUUCGUAGAUAUCGGGAGGAAAACCAGUGGCGAAGGCGGCGACCUGGGCCAAUACUGACGCUGAGGUGCGAAAGCGUGGGGAGCAAACAGG